UAUGAUAUAGUGGGCCUUAUUUUAACUACCGUGAUUCAACCCAAAGACAGCUAGACUUGCAGCAAGAUUUUUAGGGUUCUCUGUUCUUCUUCGACAAUUAAAUGAAGAUUCUUUUUGACUAAAAAAAACCAAGAGUCUUCUUGUUCGAUCUCUGAUACAACUAUAGAGUUUCGAUGUAUUCAAUCCACGUUAAGACUCGCUCUGGGAAUCUUCGAUCUGGCGUUCUGUCUUCUCUUUCAGAUCAGGCGAUGUUCUUCAACCAUGGCGGUGAGAUUUCUCAGAUUCUGAGAAGCCAGAAACGUCGGGAGCUGAUGGGCGUGUAUAUGCUCUUACUGGAUUCAAAGUUAUUUCUUUAAAAACUCAUGUUCAUGUUGUUCUUGAAUUCAUGUUCAUCGUUAGGCGACCCUCAUGCUGGCCACUGUGAAUGUUAAUAGGCUAGCAACUUACAUGCCUUAUCUCAAGGCGGGUAAUCAGAACUUCCGGAUUUCCUACUCCUCCCUGUUGAUUAGAUUCAGUGAUGCUAACUCUUUGGAUGAAAUAACCGAACCGGCUUCACCCACACCUGAAGAAUGUUUCAGGUUACGUAAUCACACGAGAUGCUUGGUCCUGCCAACUCACACUCAACUCCCAAUUAUUCUUCCUAUAAUCUGUUCAUCUAUAUAGCAAGAUAAAAUAUUUAAUAUUGAUUAUCACACACAUAUUGUUUGUGAGCUAACUGCGGUUAAAAGUACUGUGAGUGACCCACCCCAAGACAAGAGCCGGAUGAUGGCAACCAUUAAAAUGGAUAAGUAUUUUACUAUUUCAGAUUAAACCCUUCAACUUUGCAUAUCUGAUUUCUUACUUUUUUUUUUGUAAUAGUAUAUAUUAAGCACUUUGAUACAUGUUUUCCAGUAUCAGUGAUGUUUCCGUGACAUUGAGUUUAUUCGACUCACAAUCUAUUAAGUUUCACACCAAGCUUGAGGCCGUACGUGGCGAUCCACGAGCGGUUGUUGCAACCAGCAUUCAUCCAAAAAUUGUCGUUUGUUUCUCAAUGCCACAUCAUGGACACACAUCUAUUUCAACAAGGAGACUAAUGUUGGGGAACGAUAUUUUUACAAGCUGUUCUAUAGCGACACUGGGCAUGCAUCAGCAGCUCCACUGCUGAGGGGCUAUGCCAAGGUCGAGCCUCUGACUAUAGCUGAGCUCAAUGAAUUCGGUGACAAGAAUGAAGAAGAGCUCAGGAUAUUUAUUUUAUCUGUAUCGGCAUGAUCACCGGCAUCAAGAUAGACAAAGGGUUGUGCUACGUUUCUUGCUCCAACUGUACCAGGAAGCUUCAAUGCACUGUCUCAGCCUUUACAUGUGUUCACUGCAACAAUACUAAUGCUGUUGGUGUCCUUUGCUACGGUGUGGAAAUGGUCAUUGCUGAUGAUACUGCUGUAGAGUCUAUUUGUGUGUUUUGACGGGGUAAUGAUGACGAAACUGCAUAACAUGAGAGUCUAUGAAGAUGAUAUGUCUGGUGCCAACUCAGUACCUGCUAAGGCAGCACCAAAUACAGGAGCAGGUCCAAGUGGUGUCAACACAACUAAGUCUCCAGCAAGGAUGUUCUAAGAUGGUCAAGAAAGCACUCAAGUCAUAGAUAAAAAUAAUGAUAGAUUUGGCAUGAGUAUUUCUUCUUUGAAUAAUGCUUAGGUUUUUUUUCCUUUGUUUUUGAACAAGUUCAUUUAUGUUUCCCUCCUCUUUUGGGUAAUCUAUGUUUGGUUCAGACUAUCUUUAUAAAAUAUGUCUCAGUUUCCAAAAUUGAUGUAUAUGUAACUCCCUAUAUAUUAAGACGGGCGACAAUUGGUCCCAGCUUAUUGUCUGUA